GAAAUGCGAUAAGUAAUGUGAAUUGCAGAAUUCAGUGAAUCAUCGAAUCUUUGAACGCACAUUGCGCCCGCCAGCACUCUGGCGGGCAUGCCUGUUCGAGCGUCAUUUCAACCCUCAGAACCCCUUGCGGGAUCUGGCGUUGGGCAUUGGCAUCCAGCCAGCCCCGAAAUCUAGUGGCGGUCCCUCCGCGACCUCCCCUGUGCAGUAGCGAUACCUCGCAGCGGGACAGCGGUCUGACCACGCCGUAAAACCCCCAACUUCUCAAGGUUGACCUCGAAUCAGGUAGGAAUACCCGCUGAACUUAAGC
rnacentral:misc_RNA from 1 species